UACAAAAUUAUGAGAAUUUGCUGAUUGUCCACGUGAAGCUACUUUAUCUCAAUGGUGAGUGCUCCUUCAUCAAUGGAUCGUUGCUCCCUGGGAGUAUCAGUAAAAGAGAAAGGUAGCAUGCUCUAGCUCUUUGUUAUUAUGGAGCAGAUAAGGACAUGGUAGCACUGGCUCUUCUCAGAAAUUUUUUGAGUAGUAGAGCAACAUAUCUACCUCUGAUUUGACAUUGUUAACAAAGCCUGACAUUGUCUGCUCAGAGAGAUAAGCCUUCAUCAAACUUUGUAGUUAGAUUGUUCAUGUUUUUUGGGUUUAUUGUGAGAUGAUAACUUCUGAUUCAUGAUGCUUGCUACCUGUUUAAGCAUGCACAGAACUGAU
rnacentral:lncRNA from 1 species